GUGCCAGCCGCCGCGGUAAGACGGAGGGUGCUAGCGUUGUUCGGAAUCACUGGGCGUAAAGGGCGCGUAGGCGGCCUUAGGUGUCGGAUGUGAAAGCCCGGGGCUCAACCCCGGAGGUGCAUCCGAAACUCUGGGGCUGGAGGUCGGAAGAGGAGGGUGGAAUACCCAGUGUAGAGGUGAAAUUCGUAGAUAUUGGGUGGAACACCGGUGGCGAAAGCGGCUCUCUGGUCCGGACCUGACGCUGAGGCGCGAAAGCGUGGGGAGCAAACAGGAUUAGAAACCCGCGUAGUCC
rnacentral:rRNA from 1 species